rnacentral:rRNA from 1 species
AGAGAGAGACAUGCGCGCAUAUCAAUAAGCGGAGGAAAAGAAACUAACAAGGAUCCCCUUAGUAACGGCGAGUGAAGCGGGAAGAGCUCAAAUUUGAAAUCUUCAAGGUUUUACCUUGACGAAUUGUAGUUUAAAGAAGUGUUUUCUGCUGAAGUUUUGGUAAAAGUUCUUUGGAAUAGGACAUCAUAGAGGGAGAGAAUCCCGUAUUUGACCAUUAUUUUCAGCUUUGUGAUACACUUUCAAAGAGUCGGAUUGUUUGGGAAUGCAGUCCAAAAUGGGUGGUAAAUUUCAUCUAAAGCUAAAUAUUGGCGAGAGACCGAUAGCGAACAAGUACCGUGAGGGAAAGAUGAAAAGAACUUUGAAAAGAGAGUUAGACAGUACGUGAAAUUGUCAAAAGGGAAGCGUUUGACACCAGUGUUGUUUUCUCGAAAAUCAAUUAAAAAUGGCUCGAUUUUGUAUUGCUUGAGACCUUAAAAGCUCACUGUACAUUUUUCGUGUCUUUUUUAAUGCACUUUUCGUUUAACAAGUCAACAUCAGUUUCUUUUGUUGUAAAAGGGUCAUUGGAAGGUGGCUUUCUUUUCGGAGAAAGUGUUUAUAGCCUUUGGCCUCUGCAAUCGGAGAGACUGAGGUCUGCAGCGUAGACUCUUCGGGGUUAGAUACAUUUGUGCUAAGUUAUAGCUUUUUAUAGACAACUUGUUGACUAUAAUUAGUCUUGUAGCUUACUCGCUUAUGCUAUUUUACCUACGCUUAGGAUGUUGAAGAUGUAGCACAUCAU